rnacentral:lncRNA from 1 species
UCAUGGUUCAGGACGAUCAUCGAGCUUGGGAUGUAGCCUUGCCCAAAGUCCAAUUCGCUAUGAAUUCCACCACCAGUGAAACCACUCGUUGUUCCCCCUUCUUCCUGGUCCAUGGUAGGGAGGCCGUUGCGUGUGGGAAAGUAUACGGGGACAGCCAAACGUCUAACCCGGAUCCGUCCAUUGACUCCCCCGACCGGUAUGCGGACUCCCUGGGCGGCCUGAGGGCAGUUUUCGAACGGGUUAAGUUAUCACUACUAAAAGCUCACGAUAGGGGGGCACGUUAUUACAACAAAGGUCGUCGUUCCGAAGAGUUCCACGAGGGUGAGGUCGUUAUGAAAAAAACUUUUCCCUUGAGUGAUGCUAGUAAGUUUUUCAUGGCUAAGCUCGCUCCCAAAUAUGCGAAGUGUCGAAUAGUUCGUAAGCUCUCGAGUUUGGUAUACGAGUUAGAAGAUUUCUAUACUGGUAAAAAUGUAGGGUCCUGGCAUGUCCAGCAUAUCAAAAAGUUUGAUCCGUGAUCAAUUUAAUUAGCUAUAAGCUGUAUGUCCACAGAGAGGUUGGCAGUGCAGGGCGAGAGCUCGGGUUUCGUCCUGCAGGGCUAGCUUCCCGGUGAAGAGUGUCAAAGGGUAGUUUAGCGGCUUCCUAGCCGAGCUAUCGGGCACUAACCCGUAAUCGGUUUACGGGUAAUUGUGCUUGUCCCGCCUUCCGCCGUGUAGCUUGGACGCGCAGCCCGUUACCUCGGUCGCUCGCUGCGCCGCCAAGAUAUACUGCGAGGAUAGGAGCUUCCAGCUCUUCGUUCUGGCGUUGUGUCGAGUAGGUUAUUAGUUGCAUGUGGUAUCUGGAUCACAGUCCUGACUGUGGCCAUUAUUUUAGAAUUAGUAAGUCGUGGGUUCGAUUUCGAUGGUAUUUUUUUUGUAUAUCAGAUUUAGAUGUUGAGUUGUAGUAGUCCUUUUACCCAUACUCCAGGUAGUUGAAGCUGGGGACCAGCUCAAAAUUUUGUCUCGUCAAAAUUUUCUCUGGGGAGGGGAGUAUUGUAACAAAACAAAUUUCCUUUCCUUAAAUAUAGCAUUAACUAUUGGAUUGCCCGGCCUAAGUUAUGACUUCUACUGCCCUCUCUUGGAAAUAGGCGGGAAGUCUUCGACCGGAGGAUACCUGAUCGGUUUCUUGCGCCAUCUAGCGUGGGAUAGCUGCACUCUUGUAUACCUCUAUGGACUUACGUGGAUCAUAGUUGCCAUUUUGAAAAAUAGAAGUAAAUCGUCAUCGGGCGUUUGCCUUCCUUCCUUUUAUUCGUAACCAGACUUAAUUAUGGGUUUUUUUUUAAGCUCCGCGUUAAUCGUGAAGAGUUUAGUAUUAUAUUUUAUUGUUGACUUAAUUUCCAUUGAACGUCCGGAGCCGGCUGUUUGCGGUGCGAGCCGAUUUAGGCUUGGCAACACUAGUCCCGUCCAAAAUGGCGAAUGUCAUGGGAUUUCUUUUUGCCGGAGAGAGAGUUGAAGGGAUAUCGUUGGCCCAAGCUAAAAUCGGGCGCAAUCGCCCGUUUGAGUGAGUUUCAAUAGUGAUUCGGUUGUGUAUUUCUUUUUAGUUGGUUAGUUUCUAACGAAGCGUUGCAUAUUUUCCAGCCCCGGAAUCGGACGUGAAUAAAACCAUGUUCUGAUGGUGAUAGGCGACGCCCAGCGUGCCCGGUUGUCGAAAUAGGUGCAAUUUUGCCCUCUGCUGGCCCUUUCUCCAUCAACGGGUUCACGCCGCGUCGCCUAAACCUCGCGCCGGCCGCGAGAGGUUCCCCUGGUAUCCCGGUAACUUGUGGGCAGCAGAUUGCUGCUGUUCUACCUACUCCCGACGUUUCACCCCAAGGCUGCUGACGUGGCAGUUGUGGUGUUUCGAGGUCAGAUCUUUCCACGUUUACUUAUUGACUGAAUGAACCGGCCUUUCGGUUCUGGCGCCCUUCCGUGUAACUACCUUAAUAUAUAUUGACCGCU